GAGUUUGAUCAUGGCUCAGAUUGAACGCUGGCGGCAUGCCUUACACAUGCAAGUCGAACGGCAGCACGGGAGCUUGCUCCUGGUGGCGAGUGGCGAACGGGUGAGUAAUGCAUCGGAACGUAUCCUGGAGUGGGGGAUAACGUAGCGAAAGUUACGCUAAUACCGCAUAUUCUGUCGAGCAGGAAAGCGGGGGACCUUCGGGCCUCGCGCUCUUGGAG
rnacentral:rRNA from 1 species